UACAGAGGUCCCAAGCGUUGUUCGGAUUUACUGGGCGUAAAGGGUGCGUAGGUGGUUGGGUAAGUCUGAUGUGAAAUCUCCGGGCUCAACCCGGAAAUGGCAUUGGAUACUAUUCGACUAGAGGGUUGGAGGGGGGACUGGAAUACUUGGUGUAGCAGUGAAAUGCGUAGAUAUCAAGUGGAACACCGGUGGCGAAGGCGGGUCUCUGGGCAACAACUGACGCUGAGGAGCGAAAGCGUGGGGAGCGAACAGG
rnacentral:rRNA from 1 species